AGGGACUGGUCAUAAAGUGACUGCUAGGGUGGGCUGGAGGCAAAUCACAAAUUUUGCCAAUAAGUUUGGUGACCCAACUUAGGAUGUAGAUAAAAAUUUCAAAGCCCAUCUAAUCUUACAAAAAAAAUUUCAUGACCCACCCAAUCUAAAUUGGGAAAAUACACUUUUAUAACUUAAAAAAACUUGCAGGUAUAUGAACAUUGUAAAUAUACACGGCACUGUAUUGACAUAAUUGAAUUCCACCAAGCUUGACCAACAC